rnacentral:rRNA from 1 species
AUAUAGGUCAAUGGACGCAAGUCUGAACCAGCCAUGCCGCGUGCAGGAUGACGGCCCUAUGGGUUGUAAACUGCUUUUGUACGGGAAAAAACCCUUCUACGUGUAGAAGGCUGAUGGUACCGUAAGAAUAAGGAUCGGCUAACUCCGUGCCAGCAGCCGCGGUAAUACGGAGGAUCCAAGCGUUAUCCGGAUUUAUUGGGUUUAAAGGGUGCGUAGGCGGAAUAGUAAGUCAGUGGUGAAAACCUGCAGCUUAACUGCAGAACUGCCAUUGAUACUGCUAAUCUUGAGUACAUUUGAUGUGGGCGGAAUGUGUCAUGUAGCGGUGAAAUGCAUAGAUAUGACACAGAACACCGAUUGCGAAGGCAGCUCACAAAACUGUUACUGACGCUGAGGCACGAAAGCGUGGGGAUCGAAC